GUUGCCAAGGUGAUGAGCGAAGGCGCUUCUCGCGUCGCAGCUCCCACAGAGCGCGCUGCGUUACACCAGGCCGGCCGCCAGAGUCCGGGAGAAGGGACUUGGGGCUGGCCAGCACGCCGGGCCAGGAGCCGUACUCCGGCGUCUCGCGGUUAGGAAUCACUGCCUCCACCACCAAAUAUGGUCCCCAACAAAUUAGAAGACCUGGCUGGUAGACAGGGUGGCUCCAGUCAGGCCAUGGCCAGAAAGGCCCCAUGGAGGACCAGUCCUGGUGGAAAGUUAAGUCUGAUCCCUGAUACUCCAUCUUUGCUGAAAGCAGAAGGUUUCCAGUUUAUAUUUGUGAUUUCUUUUUUAAAAUUUUCAAUGAAUUAGAAUGACAGAGUA